rnacentral:rRNA from 1 species
UUGAACGCUGGCGGCAUGCCUAACACAUGCAAGUCGAGCGAGGUGUAGCAAUACAUCUAGCGGCGGACGGGUGAGGAAUACAUAGGAAUUUGCCUUUAAAGUGGGGGAUAGCCCGGGGAAACUCGGAGUAAUACCGCAUGACGUAGCAAUACCAAAGCAGGGGACCGCAAGGCCUUGCGCUUUUAGAGAAGCCUAUGUCGGAUUAGCUAGUUGGUGAGGUAAUGGCUCACCAAGGCAACGAUCCGUAGCUGGUUUGAGAGAACGAUCAGCCACACCGGAACUGAGACACGGCCCAGACUCCUACGGGAGGCAGCAGUGGGGAAUCUUGCGCAAUGGGCGAAAGCCUGACGCAGCGACGCCGCGUGAGGGAUGACGGCCUUCGGUUGUAAACCUCUUUCAGCUCCGACGAAGCGGAAGUGACGGUAGGAGCAGAAGAAGCACCGGCCAAC